rnacentral:lncRNA from 1 species
ACCAUGCACUGGUAGGGGGAGUGUGUUUAUGUUGACAUCAUAAUUGAGAGAACAGAGUGUUGUUCCACAGAAUGAUUCCUCCAAUCAUCGUUUAAAACAAAGUAACCCCAUUGGCUUCAACAAAAGACAAUUACUCAGCAAGUUUAUAAUGUAACCUGUCGGAAAAUGCAUUUAAGCAGAGUGAAGUAAGACCAAAGUACAACAGUAGUUUUUGGCUUUCAGCGGGAGCUAGGUUUCACAGAAUUUUAGCGUCAACUAUAGUCUAUACUCUUCGUGCUGUUAGAGUUAUAGUGAACACUAUAUAUCAUAAUCACAGAGACGGAGUGGAAGCGAUUUCAAUAAAAGUUAAAUGCUUUUAUUUAUACAAGAAAGCAUCGUGCGUUAUAGACCAACACAUCGACAGAGAUUAAUUUAUUGAAAAUACGAAGCAAUAAAUUGGUUGGUUUUGUUGUAUUUGGUUGACGUAAUUUAAUACAUUCCAACGAGCGAUGGUAAAUAAAUUUAAAAUAUUUGCCAUGCGGAAGUAAAAUGUGCAAUCGGCCAGCAUAGCCUGUAUACUGAGCAUAGGAAAGAUAUAAAAAGUAUUUCAACAUUACAAGACCAUUACAGAAAGGUAAGUUUUACUGGAAAAUUUAUCUGUCUUAUUUAUGUGCCGGCAUAUAUUGGUUAUUGCCCGUAUAUAUUGGCUAGUAUUUAUGAUCCAUAUACCAAGUAAACAUAGAUAUGUAGACCGGAUAUAUAAGAAACUGAGCUCUAUUUUUACAUAUAAAAUUAAAGUUAUAAACUUGUAAAGUUUAUAUUCCAUAAAGUUUGGUAGACAUGCAACCAAACUAUGGUAAUUCUAGGCUUCUAUAUAUUGACGUCACUUUGCUCAGUAGAGUCGCAUGUUUUGCAGGUUGUGAGGUUGUCAUAUACUUGGCGGCAUAUAUAUACAUGAAGUAUAUAAUUUUCAGUUAAUAAGAAGCAAUUUAUAGAUUAGUUAAGCUUUAUGGCCAGUUCAUGCAUAUAUUGCGACUAUAGAAACGUUGGUAGACAAUCAAAAGUCAAGGAAGAACAGCCAUAAUUCUGGGCUCCUACUUAUAAGUUAGUCGCCAUAUAGAUAUUAUAUGAAACAGUUUGUUUUGAUUUUUGGUUUGCGAUUAAACUCACGAAUCCUUCAAGUCAAAGUUUAACUGAGAGAUACUUAUAGCAUCCUGUUGACAUCUACACAAACACAGUGAAGACAGAAGGAUGGUGUUUAAACUAUCAUUCAUGUGGUGUACUUCAAACCAUUCUUGUUCAACGCAUUGUAAACAUUAGACACAAUUGUCAAUCAAAUUCUUUGGGUCAAAUUCGAUGACAUCCUGUGAUCGUCUACACCGAAAUUCUUUGUCAUAUUAAAUAGUAUAGCUUCAAUCGUACUUAAACCCAGUAAAUGAUGUCAACUACAUGAACAUGUACGGCAUUCCUAUAACAAUUAAUCCCUCUCAAAAAUUCCCACAUAGGAUUUUACAUGUGAAGAUGUAUUUUGCGUGUAAAACUGUUUCAAUUCCAAAUAUAACUUUAGAUGACUGCGACAUAAUAUGCGCAGCAAACAUACUUACUUUGGGGAUAUGGGGGACAUCGUUAUUGCAGGGAAUAUGCUGGUCAGUCCUUCCUGUCUGUAUUUGUUAAAAACAUUUUAACAGACAUAAACAAGUUUAUGUUAAUUUGUUCUGUAUAUAGCAAAUCUCGUACAAUAUCCGCGGAGAAGGUAAUAGCAUCACCGGACGCACUAUAGAUUUUGGAUUGUUGCCUUUUCCUAAUACCAAUGUAAACAUGCAAACUGAUGAUAUUCUAUAUAUUGUAGAGACAUGCAGAUUAUACCCAUGCAAUUAUACACUGUAGGAAAACGGAUGGCUGAAGCGAUCAAUUAUAAGGAAGCCAAAGAAGAGAUGGAAAAGCACUUCCAAUUCGUGGCGAAAGAGAUCGGCCGCGAUUGGAAAAAGUUAGGUAGAAAGUUAAAGCGGAUUACUAAA